GGACUACUGGGGUAUCUAAUCCUGUUUGCUCCCCACGCUUUCGCACCUCAGCGUCAGUACCGAGCCAGUGAGCCGCCUUCGCCACUGGUGUUCCUCCGAAUAUCUACGAAUUUCACCUCUACACUCGGAAUUCCACUCACCUCUCUCGGACUCGAGAUUGCCAGUAUUAAAGGCAGUUCCAGGGUUGAGCCCUGGGAUUUCACCCCUAACUUAACAAUCCGCCUACGUGCGCUUUACGCCCAGUAAUUCCGAACAACGCUAGCCCCCUUCGUAUUACCGCGGCUGCUGGCAC
rnacentral:rRNA from 1 species